rnacentral:rRNA from 1 species
UUAAGCGACUAAGCGUACACGGUGGAUGCCCUGGCAGUCAGAGGCGAUGAAGGACGUGCUAAUCUGCGAUAAGCGUCGGUAAGGUGAUAUGAACCGUUAUAACCGGCGAUUUCCGAAUGGGGAAACCCAGUGUGAUUCGUCACACUAUCAUUAACUGAAUCCAUAGGUUAAUGAGGCGAACCGGGGGAACUGAAACAUCUAAGUACCCCGAGGAAAAGAAAUCAACCGAGAUUCCCCCAGUAGCGGCGAGCGAACGGGGAGCAGCCCAGAGCCUGAAUCAGUGUGUGUGUUAGUGGAAGCGUCUGGAAAGGCGCGCGAUACAGGGUGACAGCCCCGUACACAAAAAUGCACAUACUGUGAGCUCGAUGAGUAGGGCGGGACACGUGGUAUCCUGUCUGAAUAUGGGGGGACCAUCCUCCAAGGCUAAAUACUCCUGACUGACCGAUAGUGAACCAGUACCGUGAGGGAAAGGCGAAAAGAACCCCGGCGAGGGGAGUGAAAAAGAACCUGAAACCGUGUACGUACAAGCAGUGGGAGCCUCUUUAUGGGGUGACUGCGUACCUUUUGUAUAAUGGGUCAGCGACUUAUAUUCUGUAGCAAGGUUAACCGAAUAGGGGAGCCGAAGGGAAACCGAGUCUUAACUGGGCGUUAAGUUGCAGGGUAUAGACCCGAAACCCGGUGAUCUAGCCAUGGGCAGGUUGAAGGUUGGGUAACACUAACUGGAGGACCGAACCGACUAAUGUUGAAAAAUUAGCGGAUGACUUGUGGCUGGGGGUGAAAGGCCAAUCAAACCGGGAGAUAGCUGGUUCUCCCCGAAAGCUAUUUAGGUAGCGCCUCGUGAAUUCAUCUCCGGGGGUAGAGCACUGUUUCGGCAAGGGGGUCAUCCCGACUUACCAACCCGAUGCAAACUGCGAAUACCGGAGAAUGUUAUCACGGGAGACACACGGCGGGUGCUAACGUCCGUCGUGAAGAGGGAAACAACCCAGACCGCCAGCUAAGGUCCCAAAGUCAUGGUUAAGUGGGAAACGAUGUGGGAAGGCCCAGACAGCCAGGAUGUUGGCUUAGAAGCAGCCAUCAUUUAAAGAAAGCGUAAUAGCUCACUGGUCGAGUCGGCCUGCGCGGAAGAUGUAACGGGGCUAAACCAUGCACCGAAGCUGCGGCAGCGACACUAUGUGUUGUUGGGUAGGGGAGCGUUCUGUAAGCCUGUGAAGGUGUACUGUGAGGUAUGCUGGAGGUAUCAGAAGUGCGAAUGCUGACAUAAGUAACGAUAAAGCGGGUGAAAAGCCCGCUCGCCGGAAGACCAAGGGUUCCUGUCCAACGUUAAUCGGGGCAGGGUGAGUCGACCCCUAAGGCGAGGCCGAAAGGCGUAGUCGAUGGGAAACAGGUUAAUAUUCCUGUACUUGGUGUUACUGCGAAGGGGGGACGGAGAAGGCUAUGUUGGCCGGGCGACGGUUGUCCCGGUUUAAGCGUGUAGGCUGGUUUUCCAGGCAAAUCCGGAAAAUCAAGGCUGAGGCGUGAUGACGAGGCACUACGGUGCUGAAGCAACAAAUGCCCUGCUUCCAGGAAAAGCCUCUAAGCAUCAGGUAACAUCAAAUCGUACCCCAAACCGACACAGGUGGUCAGGUAGAGAAUACCAAGGCGCUUGAGAGAACUCGGGUGAAGGAACUAGGCAAAAUGGUGCCGUAACUUCGGGAGAAGGCACGCUGAUAUGUAGGUGAAGUCCCUCGCGGAUGGAGCUGAAAUCAGUCGAAGAUACCAGCUGGCUGCAACUGUUUAUUAAAAACACAGCACUGUGCAAACACGAAAGUGGACGUAUACGGUGUGACGCCUGCCCGGUGCCGGAAGGUUAAUUGAUGGGGUUAGCGGUAACGCGAAGCUCUUGAUCGAAGCCCCGGUAAACGGCGGCCGUAACUAUAACGGUCCUAAGGUAGCGAAAUUCCUUGUCGGGUAAGUUCCGACCUGCACGAAUGGCGUAAUGAUGGCCAGGCUGUCUCCACCCGAGACUCAGUGAAAUUGAACUCGCUGUGAAGAUGCAGUGUACCCGCGGCAAGACGGAAAGACCCCGUGAACCUUUACUAUAGCUUGACACUGAACAUUGAGCCUUGAUGUGUAGGAUAGGUGGGAGGCUUUGAAGUGUGGACGCCAGUCUGCAUGGAGCCGACCUUGAAAUACCACCCUUUAAUGUUUGAUGUUCUAACGUUGACCCGUGAUCCGGGUUGCGGACAGUGUCUGGUGGGUAGUUUGACUGGGGCGGUCUCCUCCUAAAGAGUAACGGAGGAGCACGAAGGUUGGCUAAUCCUGGUCGGACAUCAGGAGGUUAGUGCAAUGGCAUAAGCCAGCUUGACUGCGAGCGUGACGGCGCGAGCAGGUGCGAAAGCAGGUCAUAGUGAUCCGGUGGUUCUGAAUGGAAGGGCCAUCGCUCAACGGAUAAAAGGUACCCGGGGAUAACAGGCUGAUACCGCCCAAGAGUUCAUAUCGACGGCGGUGUUUGGCACCUCGAUGUCGGCUCAUCACAUCCCGGGCUGAAGUAGGUCCCAAGGGUAUGGCUGUUCGCCAUUUAAAGUGGUACGCGAGCUGGGUUUAGAACGUCGUGAGACAGUUCGGUCCCUAUCUGCCGUGGGCGCUGGAGAACUGAGGGGGGCUGCUCCUAGUACGAGAGGACCGGAGUGGACGCAUCACUGGUGUUCGGGUUGUCAUGCCAAUGGCACUGCCCGGUAGCUAAAUGCGGAAGAGAUAAGUGCUGAAAGCAUCUAAGCACGAAACUUGCCCCGAGAUGAGUUCUCCCUGACUCCUUGAGAGUCCUGAAGGAACGUUGAAGACGACGACGUUGAUAGGCCGGGUGUGUAAGCGCAGCGAUGCGUUGAGCUAACCGGUACUAAUGAACCGUGAGGCUUAACCU